rnacentral:rRNA from 1 species
UACGUAGGUGGCGAGCGUUAUCCGGAUUUACUGGGUGUAAAGGGAGCGUAGACGGCUUUGCAAGCCAGAUGUGAAAGCCCGGGGCUCAACCCCGGGACUGCAUUUGGAACUGUGUGGCUAGAGUGUCGGAGAGGCAGGCGGAAUUCCUAGUGUAGCGGUGAAAUGCGUAGAUAUUAGGAGGAACACCAGUGGCGAAGGCGGCCUGCUGGACGAUGACUGACGUUGAGGCUCGAAAGCGUGGGGAGCAAACAGG